UACAGAGGGGGCAAGCGUUGUCCGGACUUACUGGGCGUACAGCGCGCGCAGGCGGAACUGGACGUGCCGUGUGACAAACCACUGCUCACCAGUGGAGGGCCACGGUACACGACAGUUCUGGAGGCAGGGAGAGGGAUGUGGAAUGCCCGGUGGAGCGGUGAAAUGCGUAGAGAUCGGGCGGAACACCAGCGGCGAAGGCGGCAUCCUGGCCCUGACCUGACGCUGAGGCGCGAGAGCGUGGGGAGCGAACUGG
rnacentral:rRNA from 1 species